rnacentral:rRNA from 1 species
UACGUAGGGUGCAAGCGUUGUCCGGAAUUAUUGGGCGUAAAGGGCGCGUAGGCGGCCUUCUAAGUCGAACGUGAAAUCCCCGGGCUCAACCCGGGAACUGCGUCCGAUACUGGAAGGCUUGAAUCCGGGAGAGGGAUGCGGAAUUCCAGGUGUAGCGGUGAAAUGCGUAGAUAUCUGGAGGAACACCGGUGGCGAAGGCGGGUCUCUGGGCCGAUACUGACGCUGAGGAGCGAAAGCGUGGGGAGCGAACAGG